rnacentral:rRNA from 13 species
CCCGCGACGUUGUGAGAAGUCCACUGAACCUUAUCAUUUAGAGGAAGGAGAAGUCGUAACAAGGUUUCCGUAGGUGAACCUGCGGAAGGAUCAUUG